rnacentral:rRNA from 1 species
UGGGGAAUUUUGGACAAUGGGCGAAAGCCUGAUCCAGCAAUGCCGCGUGUGUGAAGAAGGCCUUCGGGUUGUAAAGCACUUUUGUCCGGAAAGAAAUCCUUGGCUCUAAUACAGUCGGGGGAUGACGGUACCGGAAGAAUAAGCACCGGCUAACUACGUGCCAGCAGCCGCGGUAAUACGUAGGGUGCAAGCGUUAAUCGGAAUUACUGGGCGUAAAGCGUGCGCAGGCGGUUUGCUAAGACCGAUGUGAAAUCCCCGGGCUCAACCUGGGAACUGCAUUGGUGACUGGCAGGCUAGAGUAUGGCAGAGGGGGGUAGAAUUCCACGUGUAGCAGUGAAAUGCGUAGAGAUGUGGAGGAAUACCGAUGGCGAAGGCAGCCCCCCUGGGCCAAUACUGACGCUCAUGCACGAAAGCGUGGGGAGCAAACAGGAUUAGAUACCCUGGUAGUCCACGCCCUAAAACGAUGUCGACUAGUUGUCGGGGUCUUCAUUGACUUGGUAACGUAGCUAACGCGUGAAGUUGACCGCCUGGGGAGUACGGUCGCAAGAUUAAAAACUUAAAGGAAUUGACGGGGUCAUAGCUGUUUCCU